AUUGAACGCUGGCGGCAGGCCUAACACGUGCAAGUCGAACGGUAGCACAGAGAGCUUGCUCUCGGGUGACGAGUGGCGGACGGGUGAGUAACGUCUGGGAAACUGCCCGAUGGAGGGGGAUAACUACUGGAAACGGUAGCUAAUACCGCAUAACGUCGCAAGACCAAAGUGGGGGACCUUCGGGCCUCACCCCCUCGGAUGUGCCCAGAUGGGAUUAGCUAGUAGGUGGGGUAAUGGCUCACCUAGGCGACGAUCCCUAGCUGGUCUGAGAGGAUGACCAGCCACACUGGAACUGAGACACGGUCCAGACUCCUACGGGAGGCAGCAGUGGGGAAUAUUGCACAAUGGGCGCAAGCCUGAUGCAGCCAUGCCGCGUGUAUGAAGAAGGCCUUCGGGUUGUAAAGUACCUUCAGCGGGGAGGAAGGCGGUGAAGUUAAUAGCUUCACCGAUUGACGUUACCCGCAGAAGAAGCACCGGCUAACUCCGUGCCAGCAGCCGCCGUAA
rnacentral:rRNA from 1 species